rnacentral:rRNA from 1 species
CCUACGAGUGGCAGCAGUGAGGAAUAUUGGUCAAUGGCCGGGAGGCUGAACCAGCCAAGUCGCGUGAGGGAAGACGGCCCUACGGGUUGUAAACCUCUUUUGUCAGGGAGCAAGGUGCAGGUCGGGACCUGCUGUGAGAGUACCUGAAGAAAAAGCAUCGGCAAAAGCCGUGCCAGCAGCCGCGGUAAUAAGGAGGAUGCGAGUGUUAUUCGGAUUUAUUGGGUGUCAAGGGUGCGCAGGCGGAGGCACCAAUCAGCGGGAAAAUCGCGGGGCUCAACCCCGCUCCGCCGUUGAAAACGUGUCCCUUGAGUGCGCGAAGGGUAGGCGGAAUGCGUGGUGUAGCGGUGAAAUGCAUAGAUAGCACGCAGAACUCCGAUCGCGAAGGCAGCCUACCGGCGCGCAACUGACGCUCAUGCACGAAAGCGUGGGUAUCGAACAGGAUUAGAUACCCGAGUAGUC